AAAUAAUUAAACACCCGCUGGAUGUCAACUAGCUUGGACUGUUUGCUUCCUGCUUCCGUUAGCUGUCGGCGCAUCCUAUUUGAGCACGCCUGACUCUCCCCACCUACCUCUACCCAGACAUCAGAUCAGAGCAGGUCUCUUUCGGUACAGUGUGUGUGCGCACAGAUAGCUUCAGAGACUUCUCAAUGAAAGUCUCUCCUAGGGAAAAAAGGGGAAGGCUUGCAAUAGCUGCAUCUUUUAAGAUAUAC